GUCAGCAGAGACCCCCUGGCCUUUGGAGUUUGUCUCUGAGCGAGAGACACUGUUGGGAUGACCGGCGAGUGGCGUUGGGUCCACAUGGGGGCCCUGGUCCGGCUGAGUCUACUGAGCACAGGCCUGCCCCUUGCCACCCAGCUCUGCCCAUAUGUGGCCGUCAUUCCUGGGCUUCACCUGGGAAACGUCCUUUGAGGCAGCUCAGCUUUUCCACAGUGGGUCACGUUGUUUGCUGCUGGAGACUGGCUGAGUCUGUGCUUCCAGUAUAGGAAGGUUUAGGAGGCGGUCAGCAGGCCUCUCCUGUGGCCACUGUGCCCGAGGCAGGUGCCUGGGGUGAGAGGGAUUCUUCCGGAUGUGGCCGUGCACUGCCCAGCAGGCCUGGAGUGAACGUCUGUGUGGAGUCCGGGCUCCCAUCCAGCAUCCCUUAAGGGUCCUGAUGGCUGGAGCUGGGGGAGGCAGGUAUGGCAAGGGGCUUCCUGCACGCAGGAAAACUGGAGACCCCUGGUGAAAGAGCCAGGUGUGCACCUGCAGAGCCAGGCAUGGGUCCACAGAGCCUGUCAAGCCUGGUUUACACCACAGAGCUGGGUAUGCGCUGAGAACCAGGUGUGCACGGAGAGCCAGGUGUACACUGCAGAGCCGCGUGUGCACUGAGAGCAGGUGUGCGCUGAGAACCAGGUGUGCAGAGAGAGCCAGGUGUGCACGGAGAAUCAGGUCUGCAGAGAGAGCCAGGUGUGCGCUGCAGAGCCGGGUGUGCACUGAGAACCAGGUGUGCAGAGAGAGUCAGGUGUGCGCUGCAGAGCCGGGUGUGCACUGAGUCAGGUGUGCAGAGAGUCAGGUGUACACUGCAGAGCCGCGUGUGCACUGAGAGCAGGUGUGCAUGGAGAGCCAGGUGUCUGUUGAGAACCAGGUGUGUGCAGAGAGCCAGGUGUGCACUGCAUAUCUAAGUGCUCAUGUGGAGUCUUGGGCUGGGCAGGUGCUGCCCAGGACCCUGGCUCUCUGGCUGUCUUCUGUGCAUUUGGGGAUGGGAGAAGGGGCUCGGCUCUGGCUGGAGGGCAGCCAGGCAGACUUGCCAGCCAGCACCGCCAGGUGAUAAGAGCUGGUGCCCACAGGUACUCAGCAAAUGUCUGCAUUUUGGGGAGGGCUGGAGAAAAUGAAGGCCAUGCCCUCUCUGCAAGGCUCCGCACAGGCCCUGUUUCCCAGUCCUUCAGCCACAGGGUGUCCCGGCAACAAGGGUGCCAGGUCGCCUGCACCCUGACUGUCUCCUGCGGAAAGGACAGCGCCUGCUCCUUGUCCUCCAGUAGCUGCUGGACUCCGGGGUCUGGGUGCUCUGGCGCCCGGCGGCUGGGUCCCCACUACAAGGUAGACACCAGCCUUGAAUCCAACUGUCGAGGAAAUGGGGUGGGCGGCGGAGGCUGGGGAGAUCGGGAGGAAGGGAGGUAUGGGCUUGAGAGACAGGAACCCACCCUCUGCAAGUGCAGUGGCCUGUCCCCUCCAGAACGCUCUCAUUCUUCGUGCUGAAGGGAGCUGGGGGCGUGGCAGGCCUGCGAGACGAAUGGGCGCUAUCAGCUCAGGGCUCUGCCUCGGAGGAGCCACCCGGAGGCAGCACCCAUGGGUGUGGGGGCUUGGCCACAGGGGACGUCAGGCCUCCUCGGUGCAGCACCAGAUGCGUCUAACAGCCUCCGCCCCGUGGGCGCCCACUCAGACUUGCUGCUCAGGUGCCUAGAGCAGAAGCCACCUCCUCAGAGGCCAGCGCGCCAGCCUGGCACCACGGGGACGCUCCCAGGGGGUGCCCAGAGGGAACGUGCGCAUCGGGCGGGGUACUGCGGCGCGUGUGGGCCGUGAGCCCCGCCCUGUAGUCGGACACUGGAGUCCCGGAUCCUACAGAUCUGAAAGGCUGAGUCGGAUGCAGCAAAGGCGAAGCGGGGUUCGCAGCCCCAGACUCUUGGGCGGGGGGGUCAGCGAGCAACCGGGAGGGGCGCCGCGGGCCAUUCGCCGCUUCUCCUGGGCCGAGGGCGCAGG
rnacentral:lncRNA from 1 species